rnacentral:ncRNA from 2 species
AGCCCCUGCGCCCCGAUCGGCGACGACAAGAGGGAAUCCGGUGUGAAUCCGGAACUGUCCCGCAGCGGUAUGCCGGAACGACCGCCGUCUAUCAGCACUGGGUGAGAGCCCGGGAAGCGACGGCCAGUAGGAGCGCAGCAAGCGCACGCCGGUAAGUCCGAAGACCUGCCUGUUGUACCGGGCGCGC